rnacentral:rRNA from 1 species
UACGUAGGUGGCAAGCGUUGUCCGGAAUUAUUGGGCGUAAAGCGCGCGCAGGCGGUCCUUUAAGUCUGAUGUGAAAGCCCACGGCUCAACCGUGGAGGGUCAUUGGAAACUGGGGGACUUGAGUACAGAAGAGAAGAGUGGAAUUCCACGUGUAGCGGUGAAAUGCGUAGAGAUGUGGAGGAACACCAGUGGCGAAGGCGACUCUUUGGUCUGUAACUGACGCUGAGGAGCGAAAGCGUGGGUAGCGAACAGG